rnacentral:rRNA from 1 species
AGAACGAACGCUGGCGGCAGGCUUAACACAUGCAAGUCGAACGCUCGUAGCAAUACGGGAGUGGCAGACGGGUGAGUAACGCGUGGGAACAUACCCUCCGGUUCGGAAUAGCUCAGGGAAACUUGGAUUAAUACCGGAUACGGCUGAGAGGCGAAAGAUUUAUCGCCGGAGGAUUGGCCCGCGUUCGAUUAGCUUGUUGGUGAGGUAACGGCUCACCAAGGCGAUGAUCGAUAGCUGGUCUGAGAGGAUGAUCAGCCACAUUGGGACUGAGACACGGCCCAAACUCCUACGGGAGGCAGCAGUGGGGAAUAUUGGACAAUGGGCGAAAGCCUGACGCAGCGACGCCGCGUGAGGGAAGAAGGCCUUCGGGUUGUAAACCUCUUUCAGGAGGGACGAAGCCACUCGGGUUAAUAGCCCAGAGGGUGACGGUACCUCCAGAAGAGCCCCGGCUAACUACGUGCCAGCACGCCGC